ACUUAGCUGGCUCAGUCAGCAGAGCGUGGGACUCUUGAUCUCAGAGUUAUGAGUUCAAGCCCCAUGUUGGGUG
rnacentral:tRNA from 1 species